rnacentral:rRNA from 1 species
UACGAAGGGGGCUAGCGUUGUUCGGAGUUACUGGGCGUAAAGGGCGCGUAGGCGGCCCUCCAAGUCGGGCGUGAAAGCCCACGGCUCAACCGUGGAAUUGCGCUCGAGACUGAAGGGCUCGAGGACGGGAGAGGAUGGUGGAAUUCCCAGUGUAGAGGUGAAAUUCGUAGAUAUUGGGAAGAACACCGGUGGCGAAGGCGGCUCACUGGACCGGUACUGACGCUGAUGCGCGAAAGCGUGGGGAGCAAACGGG